CAGCCCAAGGAGGAUGAGCUGCGACAUCUCCCCUCUCGGGUGGGGUUUUGUCACUGGAUGACCACUGUGGCCGUGGCCGUUCCCAGUGGGCUCACAGUCCGGUCCACACAGGUGGCAGCAGGUGGACGGGUCCUGGACGUGGAGGAACCAGUCCUGGCGACACUUUGCCCAGAAGGACGCCGCUGCCCCCAGGCGCCCCGUCUCAGCAUCCCUUUGAUGAUGCGUUGCUGCCUCCGCUCGGCUGCCAUAGCCAAACCUCAGCCGAGCCUAAACCACAGCUCCGGAGCUUCGAGAACCAGCGCAGGGUGUCGGCAGGGUUGGCUCCCCCCGAGGGCUGCCUGCCCCGCGUCCUCGCAGCCCAGCCGAGAGCGGGCGAGCUCGGGGUCUGUUCCCUGCUCGUAAGGCCACAGUCCUGCUGGCUCCAGUGGCACCUUUGUGACCUGUGUCACUUCAACAGCCUCCUGAAGGCCUGUCACCCAGAUACAGUCCCAGUGGGGGCGAAGGCUUCAGCCUGCCGGGGGCCGUUCAGCCGCAGCCGUGGGUUCUACCUGGUCCUGAGGCGUUUGAAGCCAUUUAAGCAAGUCUGAUGUAUUUGGCGUGUGGUUUUAAUUGAACACUUAGAAGCAGCUGAUUAAAGUUUAUGAUCAAUAUCUGAAUAUCUGGGACAUGUUAUUGGUUAAUUUUUUUUAGUUAGAAUUCAUUAAUUGUCGGAGUGUUUAAACAUUUAGGGAAAUAUGCUUGAUAGAGUCAUCGGAUUAGGGAAUUAGUCGACACACAGCGAGCAGCGAGAUUCAGGCCCCCGGGCAGAGCCCCUCGGGCAGGGGAGAGGCCCGACAGACAGACAAGCAGACAGAGACCCUGCAGGAGGAUGGGCCUGGGCAGCGCUCCUGGGAGAGGGGACGUCCCAGCCAUGGUGGGGACACUCCCCCAACUAAAGGAGACCGGCAAGCGUGACUUUCUUCAGCAUCGGGGUGGGAGGCAGAUCCCCGCGGAGGAUCCCGGAGUGAGACUGAGCUCCCCCCGAAACCGACGCCCAGUGGCAGCAGACAAAUCACAGGGUUUGAUGGAAGGACGCUUAUGAGCUAGGAUUUCACAUUCCAGGAAGUUGCGUUUCAUGGGUUAAAGCAAAGUGAACACCGGCCCGGUCCUGGGUGCUCAGGAAACGGGCCCCCCGUAAAGACCCGUCCCUGUGGGCCAAACGGAGAGCCCACGGGGCUCCGGCUCCAGAGGCGGGGGGCGAGGUCGGUGCCAGCAGCGCCGUGUCUGGGUAUCUGCAGGCCCGUCCACCGAGCCGAGGGAGGCAUUCGUCCUCCCUCCGAACGCGAGCCGACCCGUGAUGCCGGCGCCUGUGAAAGCGUCCGCGUGGGCGCUUCAUCGAUUUGGCCGUGUGGUCUGUGGAACGUGUCAUCGGUGUGCACGGCGGGGCCCAGCCCCUCCCGCAGCAGUCUCGGGGGUGCCGGGAGGCCGCCGGCCCUGCUGCCCGCCCCCGAGCCACCUGCUCAUCAGGGCUCACUCUGCCCGCUGCUGUCACCCAACGCCACGCGGCGCGAGGCUUCCUUCCGCUUGCUCUUGUGCUUCCUGCGUCAUCUGCCCAUCCCGCCCCCCUCCACGCAGUGUGUCUGAUGGGUACCUGCGUCGCCCGUGUGAGAUUCUGUGGCCUCAACACAUCAAGAUGCAUUUUUCCAUCCCCUGGCCACACGCCCUUUGGACCUGUUCCAGCAUUUUGCUACAAAAAGCAACAACGUGCUCAGAUGGUCCCUGUGCGUUUUCUUGGGCUCCUGAGCAAACAUGUCUUUAGAAUUUAAUGAGAAGGGGAGCCAUGGGGUCAGGGCGUCUGCAAACACCCAGCUUUGCAAGACGAAGCCUCAUUAUUUUCCAAAGUGCCUGGAGUGAUGUGCGUGUCCACCAGCAAGCAGUAGACCCGCGACGGCCGCAGGCUUCGCAGGCAUUUCCUCGAGUCACUGGGAGUGAGCAUUCGAGAGACGCUUGUUGCACCUACUACCGGUUCGUCUGGGGGUCGUGGCUCUUGCGCUGGUGGGAUUGCAUCCGACGCCCUCUCUUUGCUGGUUUGCACACGGAAGCAUCUCCCCCCACUUGGCACUUUGCGUUUGCACCCUCUUUGUGCUACUUUUCGAUAAACAAAGUUCUCGAUGUCAACGUGCUUCCAUUUAUCCAUCUCUCCUUUCAUGGCCGGCGCUUUGGCUUCUGGUUUACGCAAAUCUUCCCGCCCCCGCGGGGUCGCCGAGAUAAUCCCCACCCUGUCUCCUGCAAGUGAUUUUUAUUUAUGGCGUGAGACAGAAAUCCAAUUUCAUUUUUUCCACAUGAACAACUAAUUGUCUCGGCAGCAUUUGUUAAAUGGGCUCCUCCUCCCACGCGGUCUCCCGCCGCCCGCGCCGUCAUCAAUCAGGGGUCCCUGAACCCGUCGCUCCGCUGCUGGGCUUUGUCCCGUUUCCUCGGUCACCGCGUCUGUCCCAGGAUGGAUGCCAAACGGUCCGAGUGUCUGAAGGGCACGCACGGCACAGGCGGGGCCCGAGGGGGGACCUGAGGGGGCUUCUCCGUGCCCGCAAUGACCUUGACGGUGGUUUCCUAAAAAGCGAGCCCUCCCGCCGCCUCCCGAUCCCGAGUGGGGAGCGCAUUGCCGGCAGAGCCUCUUCAGGGCGAGGAAGCUCCCUCCAGCCCUGGUUCCCCAGGAGUUUUUAGAAGAUACAUUCGUACUGAAACCUAACACGCGGAGUAAAGACGCACACGUCCUAGGGCGCCGCCCAGUGCAUUCUCCGGUUUCCAACACUCAACACGAAACGCUUCCGAAACACCGGAAACCAUCACGCCCCCGCCCCUCCGUGCGGUGGUCACCACCCCCCGCUGGAGAGGACCGGCCCGUUUCCGGAUUUGACGGAAACACAAUCCGACAGCGCGUGGCCUUGGGGGCCUGACGUCUUCCCCCCAGCGUCGCGUCUGUGGCACCGCCCACCACGUUGCCACACGCGGGUCCCUCUGCCCGGCUUUUUACUGCGGAGACGAGAGACUUUCACAGUAAACACCUGCAGGCAUCGCCUCCACCCUGCCAUCGACGCCUUACUCUGUUUGGUCUCAAACGUGUGUCAUUCCAUCAGCCGGCUUCGUGCUCGGGGCGUCCGGGGCCCAUGGCAGGUGUCGACACCCUUCUCCCCAGACGGCGCGGCCUCCCCCGUGGGAGCAGACGUCCCUCUGUGCCCACACUUGCCUUCUCCGGAAGUAAAGUUUACAAAUGAACCUACACCUCCGAAGAGACCAGGGCACACGCUUGUGGACCCAACCCCCUCAGGACUACAGAGCUCGGCCAUUGUUCCGGAAGCUUCUCUCCGUCCCUUCUAAGGCAGCCUCCACCUCCGCCCCCGAGAGGCAGCAGCUCUCCCGGUCUCGCCCGCUUGGCUGGGGUACACCCGACACAUCACGCCGCACGAGCGCGAGGUGCACAUGCGGCGAGGUGAGGUCCGGGGCGGGUUAGCGCGCCCGUCACCACGUCGUGGGCACGAGGAGCUCCUGUACCCCUGUGGUCACUACGUGAACGACGGGGUGGGCGGCUCAUGGCUUGACCCCACCCCCCGUCCGUGAUGGGGGGCCCUAGGGUGGGGCUGGGCUUCGGGAAGAGGGCGGCGGGCGUUCUUGCUCGCGACUUUUGGAGACGAGUGUGUGUUUCUAGGGGGGACGCGGGGGGCAGACACGCGAGUCAAGGGCACCCAGACCUGCUGCAGCUGAUGCCAACCAACAGCGUUCAAAGUGGCUGGGCCCCUGUUCCCCUGUGGACAGCGGGUCUCUGGUCCCUCCAGGUGCCAGUGACCCUGGGUGUCAUCCUCAGGUUACUGUCCCCACCAGCGCUGGCUCCGCAGGUCUCACUGGGUUUUCCUAAGCGCGGAGGUCACCGCCUCCUCGGCGCCGUGCGGACCCUGCGGUGGCCUCUUUGAUUCCUGUGUCUCUUUAAAUCACUCGCCCAGUUCUCCCCGGGUCAGGUGGCUCUGGUUAGGCUCAGGUUAACUAGUUUCCCCUGGCCUGAGUCUAGUUAAGGAUUCCGGCCACGUCCCUCCCUCCCCCACAGGAAGCGGUUCCCGCCCAGCGCUGCGGGAGCUGCGGGAGCUCGCGGAGGUCAAGCCCGGCUGGGCCUGGGGAUGGUCCGGAGUCGCCUCCGUCUUGGUGGCUCCCUGCCCGCCGGGCGUCCCGGAGCUGCGGUAAGUGGGGAUGUGUCUGCGUCGCGGCCUGUCCCCCGUUUGGGUUGGGGGUGUCCGGUGGGCUCCCCUGGUGAUGGGUCUGAGAAGCCGUGUUGGUUGCAGGUGGUUUUGCCUUGGACCGUCGGGCAGCCGGGCGAGUCCAGGCUCCUUCCAAGCCUUUCUGCCCAAGCGUUGCCUUUCUGCCCAGGUGUUGCCUUUCUGCCCGUUUCUAAAUGGGCGCUUUGCCUUCGCCUCAGUGACCUGGGCACCCUUUCUCUAUCCCGGGUACGGCCUGGGGCAGACGCACAUGUGACAGAGCUCGGGGCCCGGGUUGCGGGCUUGCCUGCGGGUUUUUGUCCCGACAAGCACGAGUUUGCCCGUGUCUGACCGCGCGGCUCGCGCUCUCAGGCUUGGGCCUUGCGCUUCCCUGCAGACAGCUUUGCUCACCCAGACGCAAGGAUGUUCUAGAAACCUGAUGGCUCAGCUUUCAUGUUUGGAGACAGGCCCCGCCGCCCGUUAGUGUCAUGUGUGCUGUGAGGGUUCCUGCCUUCUCAGGAGCAUCCGGCUGGUCUGGAACCGUGGUCGAGAAGCCCAGCCUUUGCAGGCUGGCUGGCGGUUGUCCCGGCCGUGACUCGGGCCCCGCCCGCGGGGGAGGAGGCGGGGGGCUCCUUCCAGGCUCAGCCCUGUUCCCUGGAUCACUAAUUCCACACCCUCUUCAUUACCGCAGCUUCCUAUUAAGUCUGGAAAUAAGGCAUCAGUGAACUUGGCUGAAGUCGUUAUUCAAUCAAAUAGUUGGUCAAUCAAUUUCGAUGAACCACGCUCGUGCUCAGAUCUCCAGAUACAGACAGGUGGCUUCCUGAGGUCUGCGUCUUUAUCGUUGUUUUUCUGUCCUUUGUCUUACAAGGGGCACCUGCUCGACCUCGCACCACUGUCACCACAUGACCUGGGGGUCAUUUCGCACGCCUCGUUUGGCUUAAGAAAGUAUUAUCCCAUUUAGCCCUCGCGGAGCUUUUCCUGUGAAAGGUGCCGCGCUGCGAGAUGAGGCGAUCGCAUGGCUUUUCUCCUCGACUCUGGUGAUGGGGUGAAAUACACUGAUUUUUUCUUUUUUUUAAGGUGCUGAACCAACUUUUCACUCCCGAGAUAAGCCCCACUUGGUCAUGAUAGACUGUCCUUUUUAGACGCUGCUGCAUUCAAUUUGCAAUUGCCGGCGGCUGCAGCUCCGAUUGGACCCCUAGCCUGGGAACCUCCAUGUACCGUGAGUGCGGCCCUAAAAA
rnacentral:lncRNA from 1 species